UCCUGGCGCCCUUCAUUCCACCGGAAUCUGUCAAUGCAGACACCAGAUUUCAGUGAAAUGAAGCCCAUCAGAGG
rfam:Amazona aestiva scaffold_795, whole genome shotgun sequence.